rnacentral:rRNA from 1 species
GAAAGACGAAUGACGGUACACCAAGAAUAAGAGACGGCUAACUACGUGCCAGCAGCCGCGGUAAUACGUAGGUCUCAAGCGUUAUCCGGAUUUACUGGGCGUAAAGUAUCCGUAGCCUGAUAUGUAAGUCUGUUUUCAAAUCCCACGACUCAAUCGUGGAAAGGGAAUGGAUACUGCAUAUCUAGAAGUUAUUGGGGGUUAGUGGAAUUUCCGGUGGAGCGGUGAAAUGCGUUGAUAUCGGAAAGAACGCCGAAAGCGAAAGCAGCUAACUAUGAUUAACUUGACGGUGAGGGAUGAAAGUUUGGGUAGCAAACGGGAUUAGAUACCCCGGUAGUCCAAACUGUAAAUUAUGCUUGCUAGGUGUUUCGAUCCUUGUGUCGGAGUGCCGUAAUCUAACGAGUUAAGCAAGUCGCCUGGGUAGUAUAUUCGCAAGAAUGAAACUCAAAGGGAUAGGCGGGGGAACACACAAGCAGUGGAUUAUCUAGAUUAAUUGGAUAAUAAGCCAAGAAUCUUACCUAGAAUUGACAUGCAUUGUGUCUCAUAUGAAAGUAUGAUAUUUGUAGCAAUACAGAGCUUUGCACAGGUGGUGCAUGGUCGUCGUCAGCUCGUGCCGCAAGGUGUCUAGUUAA